CCGGGGCCCGGCCGCGUUCGCCGGGGUGGCGGGGAGGGGCGGCGGGGAGGAAGCGGCGGGAGCCGAGACUUCGGCGGAGCCGCCCCCAGAGCGCCCUCUAAUGAAGGCUCGGCAGCCGCCGCCCGCGUUCCCGAUCCCGCCGGUCCUCGGGUCCGGCCCUUGGGGCUGCUGGGUCCCUAGGCCGGCGGGACCUCGCCGCUCCCAGUUCCCAGAAAGAGGGCGGCUGAGAACGGUCUGGUGAAAGAAAGAAGAUUCACUUUUAUGCUGUAUGAAAGAAUACCUUCUAUUCCCAUUCCCUCUGGUGACGAAAUGCAUGAAAGCACAGAGCCUGGCUGAAAGAAUUGAUUAGAAUUCCUUUCCAUCUAUUAUUAAUUUGUUUUUAUUUAUAGAUGUUAUUUAUCUCUUUCACUAAUAUAUACAGUGUGUGGGGCAUAAAGAGGCAUAGACCUACCAAGAAAACUUUCAUAUAAUUUCAACUAAUGUGUAGCAGUAGAAAAGUUAGAUAUGCCCUUUCUAUUCCUUUGUAUUUUCUCUGAAAAUAUAGGUACCAAGGUAAUAACACCUUUAAAUAAAUCGUGUGAGAGAAAAGAUA